GUGUGGAAUUUUCCGCAAUGGGCGAAAGCCUGACGGAGCAAUGCCGCGGGAAGGAUGAAGGCCUAUGGGUUGUAAACUUCUUUUCUCAGAAAAGAAUUAUGACGGUAUCUGAGGAAUAAGCAUCGGCUAACUCUGUGCCAGCAGCCGCGGUAAGACAGAGGAUGCAAGCGUUAUCCGGAAUGAUUGGGCGUAAAGCGUCUGUAGGUUGUUUAAAAAGUAUUCUGUCAAAGAUUAGGGCUUAACCCUAGAUAGGCAGAAUAAACUUUUAAGCUAGCAUUAGGUAGAGGCAGAGGGAAUUCCCGGUGGAGCGGUGAAAUGCGUAGAUAUCGGGAGCAACACCAAAGGCGAAGGCACUCUGCUGGGCCAAUACUAACACUGAGAGACGAAAGCGAGGGGAGCAAAUGGGAUUAGAUACCCGAGUAGUCC
rnacentral:rRNA from 1 species